ACUCGACAUUGAUAAGAGUGCACGCGCGCGCGCGCGCGCGCAAGGUACACGCGGCGCGGCGAGACCGGCCGGCGAGAGGGAAAGAGGGGAGAGAGAGGAAAGAAAAUUAAUCCGACCGACGACGAGCUUUUCCGCGACGUGGCGCCGACGCAAUUUCCGCGCGCGUUUCCCUCGAUCGGCCGCGUGACGCGCGCGCGCGUGUCUACGUGCCUACGUGCGUGCGUACAUGCCUCUACGUGCGUGCAUGCGUGCCUGCAUCUGUAGUUUUCCGCGGACGGCAAUUCGCGGAAAAGCAGUCUCGGAGCGGUCGCGCUCUUGGAACUCCGGGAGUUGAUUAUCGUGAUUCGCGUUUCGCGAUGUGAAAUGUGAAUUCCUCUUUUUCUCUUUUUUUUUUCUUUUACAUAAAAUUAUACGUACGCAUCGCGAAAAGUGCACGGCGUGAAACGUGCGACGGUAUCGCAAAUGAACUGCACAACACUGCGUUCAGACUUUUCGUUCUCACGAAUCGAUCCUGAUCCGCUUCGCACCAUCCCGAUCUUCUCUCCGAUGCUCGAGAGCGCGUCAUUGCGGCACGAAACACGUGGCGCAUAGCUUUUUUGUUUGGGAAUUGACUCACAAAGUAUAUCAGUGUGUGCGUAAGAGGAAA